rnacentral:lncRNA from 1 species
AUAAGAGAAUAAAAGCAGGCUGCCCCCAAGCCAGCAGUAGCAAAGCUGUCCGUUUUGGUUUCUCACCGUGGAAGCUUUGUUCUUUUGGUCUUUUGUAAUAGGUCUUGCUGUUGCUCAGUGUUUGGGUCUACAUUACUUUUGGAGCUGUGGCACUCCGCGUGAAGGCUUGCAGCUUCACCCUUGAAGCCAGUGAGACCAUGAACCCACCAGGAGGAGUGAAGGCUGUCUUGUCUUAAGUAGUCCUACCGGCUGUAACGGUUGUUGUGAAAGUCUGUAUCCUCACUCGUGAGCCAGCAAGACCAUGAAUCAACUAGGAGGAAGAAACUCCGAACAUAUGCGAACAUCAGGAGGAACAAACUCUGGAUACGCUGCUUUUAAAAGUUGUAAUGCUCACUGAGCAGGUUUGCGGCUUCAUUCUUGAAGUCAGUGAGACCAAGAACCCACCAAUUCUGGACACAAAAUCUGUUUGCCUGUUUAGAGGCAUACUACGGGGUUACAUUAGAAGCCCACCGAGAUAAUCCAAUACAAUCUUCUGAUCUCAAAAUCCUUCACUUAAUGACAUCUUUGGCAACUUGAAAUAAUAAUCACAGGUGUCUGACUUUUAAGGUGAGAGAACUAAGUUGUGUGACUCCAAAAGAGCAGAAACCAGGAACUGGAGAAUGGAGGACCAAAGAUCAGAGAACAAACGGCACUGUUUCUGAGAGGUAGAAGAAGGCUCAAUAAACAGCACUCCUCUUUCUUACUUGUCUGAGCAAACUGAGA